GUGGCAGCAAUAAAGUCCAGGGACAAUAGGAAAAAUAGUUUGUACCUUGGGGAAUUUUUUUAAUCUAAGCUGGUAAGAAUAAGCUUAGGGGGUCUUUCAUGCGGGUCCCCACAUCUGUACCCCAGAGUUGAGUGGGGAAAGAAUCCUGACAGGCUG